AUGAGUAUGUGUAGAAGGAAGCCAGAUGCUAUUUAUCAAGACAAUGGAAGAAUGAACCCAAAGGCAUUUCUGAGGUUACUGGUUCUGGAUUCUCAUCCCUGUCCCAGAGUGCCAGGACCCUGAGGGCAGAAUAGUUUUAAGGGAGGACUCAGGACACCAUGGAACCUUGGGGCUUGCUGCCUAGGGCUGCCUCAAGUCUCUGCCCCCCCACC
rnacentral:lncRNA from 10 species